UGGGGAAGAAGGCUUGUCGGCCAAUACCCGGCAAGAGCGACAUCACCCACAGAAGAAGCACCGGCUAACUCCGUGCCAGCAGCCGCGGUAAUACGGAGGGUGCAAGCGUUAAUCGGAAUUACUGGGCGUAAAGCGCGCGUAGGCGGCUUGUCACGCCGGGUGUGAAAGCCCCGGGCUCAACCUGGGAACGGCAUCCGGAACGGGCAGGCUAGAGUGCAGGAGAGGAAGGUAGAAUUCCCGGUGUAGCGGUGAAAUGCGUAGAGAUCGGGAGGAAUACCAGUGGCGAAGGCGGCCUUCUGGACUGACACUGACGCUGAGGUGCGAAAGCGUGGGUAGCAAACAGG
rnacentral:rRNA from 1 species